GUCCACGUUGUUAACACUUUGAAAAUCAUGUGUUGCUGACAUUAGUGUUCCUGGAAGAAGAGUGGAAUGUACAGAAUUUGGGAUUCCAUCACCAGAAAACUAUGGGUCAAGGAAGUCAUUUUCACAAAGCUAAGGAGCUGUGGUUCACUUGUGGAGUGAAUUUGCAUGAGGACUUCUUUUUUACAAGGAGGUGCAUGAAGAUACUGGUUUCUUA